rnacentral:rRNA from 1 species
UGAGGAAUAUUGGUCAAUGGGCGAGAGCCUGAACCAGCCAAGUAGCGUGCAGGAUGACGGCCCUAUGGGUUGUAAACUGCUUUUAUGUGGGGAUAAAGUGCGUGACGUGUCAUGCAUUGCAGGUACCACAUGAAUAAGGACCGGCUAAUUCCGUGCCAGCAGCCGCGGUAAUACGGAAGGUCCGGGCGUUAUCCGGAUUUAUUGGGUUUAAAGGGAGCGUAGGCUGUCUAUUAAGCGUGUUGUGAAAUUUACCGGCUCAACCGGUGGCUUGCAGCGCGAACUGGUCGACUUGAGUAUGCAGGAAGUAGGCGGUAUUCAUGGUGUAGCGGUGAAAUGCUUAGAUAUCAUGACGAACUCCGAUUGCGCAGGCAGCUUACUGUAGCAUAACUGACGCUGAUGCUCUAAAGUGCGGGUAUCAAACAGG